rnacentral:RNase_P_RNA from 1 species
CGAUUCAGACAACCGCUGCAAUAGCAGAGGAAAGUCCAUGCUCGCACCAGCUGAGAUGCUGGUAGUGUUUGUGCUGGAGGAAAAAAUAACUCCAGGUAGGCAGGAGUGCCUAACGGCUGAAUCGAAGCCUAAGUCCUUAUGGAUAUGGCCUAGAUCUGUAAAAGUGCCACAGUGACGAAGUCAUGGAAGAAAUUCUAUGAGUGGAACGAGGUAAACCCCACAAGCGAGAAACCCAAAUAUUGGUAGGGGAAUCUCAAGGCAGGAAUCAAACUGCCAAGAGAAUGCAUUGUUUAAUGCAUAGAUAGAUGGUUGUCCUAGACAGAACAUGGCUUACCGAA